UUGAUCUCAUUUCUUCAUGAUUUUGAUUUAUUUCUCUGCUCUGUUUGAAGGUCAGCUGGCUUACCUGAACAGGUGUUUACAGUAGAGCAAAAUUACCUAUACAGGUGUUGGUUGUUAGCAGUAGAGAAAACAUACCUGUACAGGUGUUAAUCAUAGAGUAAAAAUAAUUGUAUAGGUGUUAAUAGUAGAGGAAAUAUCCUGUACAGGUGUUAGUUAUUAACAGAGUAAACAUAACUACAGGUGUUGAUAUUAGAAUAUUAUUACCUUUACAGGUGUUAAUAAUACACCAAAACAUUCUGUGCAGGAGUUAAUUGAUAGUAUUAGAGCAGAAUUACCUUUUCAGGUGUUAAUGAUGUAGCUAGUUUACCUGUUCAGGUGUUAAUGAGGUAGCUAGUUUACCUGUCCAGGUGUUAGUGAGGUAGCUAGUUUACCUGUUCAGAUCUUAAUGAUGCAGCUAGUCUACCUGUUCACCUGUUAAUGAGGUAGCUAGUUUAUCUGUCCAGGUGUUAGUGAGGUAGCUAGUUUACCUGUUCAGGUUUUAAUGAUGUAGCUAGUUUACCUGUCCAGGUGUUAAUGAGGUAGCUAGUUUACCUGUCCAGGUGUUAAUGAGGUAGCUAGUUUACCUGUCCAGGUGUUAGUGAGGUAGCUAGUUUACCUGUUCAGGUUUUAAUGAUGUAGCUAGUUUACCUGUCCAGGUGUUAAUGAGGUAGCUAGUUUACCUGUCCAGGUGUUAGUGAGGUAGCUAGUUUACCUGUCCAGGUGUUAAUGAGGUAGCUAGUUUACCUGUCCAGGUGUUAGUGAGGUAGCUAGUUUACCUGUCCAGGUGUUAGUGAGGUAGCUAGUUUACCUGUCCAGGUGUUAGUGAGGUAGCUAGUUUACCUGUCCAGGUGUUAGUGAGGUAGCUAGUUUACCUGUCCAGGUGUAACUCGUGUAUCUGGUACAAUCCUGCCUCAUCUGUUUGCUAACGGUUAAUAUUUCAGGUAUUUCCUUCCAACAGUCUGGAUUUGAUUCAUUUCACCUGCUUAAGAUUUUAAUUUCCGCUGUUUUAAAGUGAAUCAUGAACCGGAGUUUCACUGAAAAUGUUUCUUAUCUUAUCUUCCUGUAAUCUCAGUGAGUGAAGUUCAGAUCUUUAUCUUGAUCAAACUUUAAGAGACAAAUGAGCGAA